AGAGUUUGAUCCUGGCUCAGAUUGAACGCUGGCGGAAUGCUUUACACAUGCAAGUCGAGCGGCAGCGCGGGGCAACCUGGCGGCGAGCGGCGAACGGGUGAGUAAUGCAUCGGAACAUGUCCAUGUCGUGGGGGAUAGCCCGGCGAAAGCCGGAUUAAUACCGCAUACGCCCGAGAGGGGAAAGCAGGGGACCGCAAGGCCUUGCGCGAUUGGGUUGGCCGAUGUCCGAUCAGCUUGUUGGUGAGGUAAAGGCUUACCAAGGCGAUGAUCGGUAGCUGGUCUGAGAGGAUGAUCAGCCACACUGGGACUGAGACACGGCCCAGACUCCUACGGGAGGCAGCAGUGGGGAAUUUUGGACAAUGGGGGCAACCCUGAUCCAGCCAUUCCGCGUGAGUGAAGAAGGCCUUCGGGUUGUAAAGCUCUUUUGUCCGGAGCGAAACGGUCGUGGUGAAUAUCCGCGACUACUGACGGUACCGGAAGAAUAAGCACCGGCUAACUACGUGCCAGCAGCCGCGGUAAUACGUAGGGUGCGAGCGUUAAUCGGAAUUACUGGGCGUAAAGCGUGCGGAGGCGGUUUUGUAAGCCAGAUGUGAAAUCCCCGGGCUUAACCUGGGAAUGGCAUUUGGGACUGCAAGGCUCGAGUAUGGCAGAGGGGGCUAGAAUUCCUGGUGUAGCAGUGAAAUGCGUAGAUAUCAGAGGAAUACCGAUGGCGAAAGCAGGCCCCUGGGUUAAUACUGACGCUCAUGCACGAAAGCGUGGGGGGCAAACAGGAUUAGAUACCCUGGUAGUCCACGCCCUAAACGAUGUCGACUGGUUGUUGGGGGUUUGACACUCUCAGUAACGAAGCUAACGCGUGAAGUCGACCGCCUGGGGAGUACGCCGCAGUUAAACUCAAGGAUUGACGA
rnacentral:rRNA from 1 species